CGCAAUACGGGCGGGGGCGGAAGCGGCUCGUCACACAAACACGACUGUGACUCGAACUAGAGGGACUCAAACACGAUUAACUCAAUCACACCUGUUCAUCAAACACCAGUGAUACAACAAACAGCCACACACAGUGCGCAGCGCGGCUUGACAACAUCUGGGCGGACACAAACUCGGCUGGAGCGAUACAAACACAAACAUCUCUACUUUUACUUGUACGGUAACACACGUCAUUGCAACUAAGACAACUAAGAUCAUUUCAAGAUCAUUUCAAUUCAACCAUUUCAACUUCUACACAAUACGCCAUGUAUAUGGCUGUAUUGGUUACUGUCCUUUGGACGAUACUGUUCAUGACAUGGCCCAGGACCAAGCAUAUAGAUCCCGUUUCGACCUCCGCACAGUAUAAGCUGUUUCAAAUACGGACAGCAUCCAAACACGGCAAACAACGGAAACGGUUCAAGGAACACUGCCAAAAUGUCUGCGGCGUGAAACGGUCCCAUCAAGGCACGAUACGGCGGCGAAGUUCUAGGUGUACGGAUGUCACCAGGGAGUUGCUGAUGAUCUAUGAAAAUCGUCAAGAGUGUCAUGAGCAUGAUGAGUCUUUGAUUGUGGAAAAAUCAAGGCUGUGAUAAUCAUACUCUACAAGCCACGAAUGUUCUCCAUUGGUGAUGGCAGGACGUGUGCUCCAUAAAAUGGAAAUUCAGCAUUACUCAUAAGGCACUCCAUCAAUCAAAAGCUUUAUCGAGCUGAAUUCGAUACACUUCAGCACAUCGAGCGCAAGCAUCUACAAGUACAGUACCUGGACAAGCCGUACACCAUGGGCUGAAACGGACGUUCUUUAGCCCAGGUGCACAAUCACCAACUUCACGAGGGAUUGUUACCGCUUCUGGAACUUGAAGGGUUUUCCAGUCGCGCUAUCGUACUACAGAGGAGUAGUCUACGAGACUCCAAAUUAGGGGAGAAUUAUUUAUUGCAUCAUCAUUUUUACACGCAAAAACCUUUCUCGGGGACACACAGGUUUGUACUUGGUACAUUUUGAGUCAAGAUAAGAGAGAUGACUGUGACGGCCUCUGAAGCAACCUUGAAUGUACUGAUGGCCUGCUGACAAACCACAGGUUGGUUACGCUUGACGGGAAAUAUGGAAUGGACAUGAUAUAUUGGCAGACAGAAGUGGGUGCGAUCGUGGAACUCGGGGUCUAGUGCUCAAACUGGUUGAAAGGGCAAAAUUGGACUGGGAAGGCUGUAAUGAUCAAAUGUGAAACUUGGACUGCAUUAAAGCUACAACUAAGUCAACAUCUGAGGCUAAAUAUAUCAAUCCAAUGUCAUUAUUUUGUUUUCUG
rnacentral:misc_RNA from 1 species